UACGGAGGGAGCUAGCGUUGUUCGGAAUUACUGGGCGUAAAGGGCGCGUAGGCGGCCUGCUAAGUCGAACGUGAAAUCCCCGGGCUCAACCCGGGAACUGCGUCCGAUACUGGCAGGCUUGAAUCCGGGAGAGGGAUGCGGAAUUCCAGGUGUAGCGGUGAAAUGCGCAGAUAUCGGGAGGAACACCAGUGGCGAAGGCGGCACUCUGGGCCGGAACUGACGCUGAGGAGCGAAAGCGUGGGGAGCGAACAGG
rnacentral:rRNA from 1 species